AAGCUUAGAGGUUGAAAAGUAUCCCGCUCCAACGCGCCGUCCUUGUGACGGGCCGAGAAAUGUGGGCGACCGCGGGUCCCACCUAAGCUA
ncrna:unclassified sequences skipping-rope RNA